UAAUUUCAAGUUUUUUAUGCAUUAAUUUCAGUGGUUUUCAUUUUGUCUCCCCUUCCCACUACCAGAGCUGGUAAUAUUUUCUGGCAUGUUCUAGCACAAAAGUUGUUUUGAAGUUAUUUCCUAUACUCAUGUCGGUUUUUGGAAAGUUAUGUUAUGAAAACACGACUUCAAAAAAAGUUAUACAAAAAUUAGUUGAAGUUGUGUUUACCACUUCACAAAACAAUAUGAGUUGGAAAAAUAAAUUGAAAACGGGUAUUUGGAAAAUAUGAUUUGAAAGAAAUCGCCCAAGGAUGCUGCUUUGCAUACUUGCUGCAGGUUUAUUCCUUUGAGGAACAUUCAAAGGGACUUUGCUUGAUUGAUGACCUGGCAGAAAUUUUGAGCAUGUCAAAACUCUCCACUGUUUGGUGUCUAAAAUUUGAUUAGUAUGAUUCCAUUAUGGAGUUAACAAUUUUUUUCUUUCAUGUAACCUUUUCAAAAUCUUCUGUUUUAUCUGCUCUGUUUUUCUCUCUUGUUUCCUGCCCUAUUCCCUCUUCUAAUUUGAUCUAUAUAUGUUUUCCUCCAUUUCAGCUCCUCAUCUAGGAAAAUUUCUCUUCCUCCACACACGAUCUUAAAAUCACGGACAUGUGAUACUACACAGAUAUGAAAUUUCUAAAAAUAUAGGAUACAUCAUGUGGGAAUACGCAAAAUAUAUAAUUUUCAGUCACGAAUUCAGUUUUUGGAAUCUCAAUUGCAAGCUGCAGGCGUGCCCGUUGAUCCAGUUGUUGCACCCUCAAACCCAUUACAUAGGCAACAGGUUGAGGAUUCACUUAGUAGUCAUCCCACUGUUCGGCCAAUGUCACAUCAACAACAAUCUCAUGCAUUUUCAUCCCAAGAGGUUCACCUUUCAAAGAAAGAGAA